UACGUAGGGUGCAAGCGUUGUCCGGAAUUAUUGGGCGUAAAGAGCUCGUAGGCGGUUUGUCGCGUCUGCUGUGAAAACUCAGGGCUUAACCCUGAGCCUGCAGUGGGUACGGGCAGACUAGAGUGUGGUAGGGGAGAUCGGAAUUCCUGGUGUAGCGGUGGAAUGCGGCAGAUAUCAGGAGGAACACCGGUGGCGAAGGCGG
rnacentral:rRNA from 1 species